rnacentral:rRNA from 1 species
AAUAGAUACCAGGUAGUCCACGCCGUAAACGAUGAGUGCUAAGUGUUAGAGGGUUUCCGCCCUUUAGUGCUGCAGCAAACGCAUUAAGCACUCCGCCUGGGGAGUACGGUCGCAAGACUGAAACUCAAAGGAAUUGACGGGGGCCCGCACAAGCGGUGGAGCAUGUGGUUUAAUUCGAAGCAACGCGAAGAACCUUACCAGGUCUUGACAUCCUUAUGACUUCUCUAGAGAUAGAGCUUUCCCUUCGGGGACAUAAGUGACAGGCGGUGCAUGGUUGUCGUCAGCUCGUGUCGUGAGAUGUUGGGUUAAGUCCCGCAACGAGCGCAACCCUUGAUCUUAGUUGCCAGCAUUCAGUUGGGCACUCUAAGGUGACUGCCGGUGACAAACCGGAGGAAGGUGGGGAUGACGUCAAAUCAUCAUGCCCCUUAUGACCUGGGCUACACACGUGCUACAAUGGAUGGUACAAAGGGUAGCGAGACCGCGAGGUUUAGCCAAUCCCAUAAAACCAUUCUCAGUUCGGAUUGCGA